rnacentral:rRNA from 1 species
UAGGGAAUCUUCGGCAAUGGGGGGAACCCUGACCGAGCAACGCCGCGUGAGUGAAGAAGGUUUUCGGAUCGUAAAGCUCUGUUGUUAAGGAAGAACGAGUGUGAGAAUGGAAAGUUCAUGCUGUGACGGUACUUAACCAGAAAGGGACGGCUAACUACGUGCCAGCAGCCGCGGUAAUACGUAUGGGGCAAGCGUUAUCCGGAUUUACUGGGUGUAAAGGGAGCGUAGGCGGCAGUACAAGUCGGGAGUGAAAACUCGGGGCUCAACCCCGAGACUGCUCUCGAAACUGUACAGCUAGAGUGCAGGAAGGGCAGGCGGAAUUCCUGGUGUAGCGGUGAAAUGCGUAGAUAUCAGGAGGAACACCGGUGGCGAAGGCGGCCUGCUGGACUGUAACUGACGCUGAGGCUCGAAAGCGUGGGGAGCGAACAGG